AUGGGGGAAGCCUAUGCUGGUAGCCGAGCUCCCAGCUGAUCCUAAAAUGAUCCUAAAAAUGAGGAGGAAUUUUGAAAAGCGACGAAUUGAGGCUCGGCAAGAGAAACAAAGGCGCUGAAGAGAAAAAAACAGUGAGAAAUACGGAGAUGGAUACAGAAUGGCAUUUACAUGUUCAUUUUGUAAAUUUCGAACAUUCGAAGAAAAAGAUAUUGAACUGCAUCUGGCCAGUUCUUCACAUCAGGAAGCAUUAGAUCAUAUACAGAAACAAACUAAAUUUGAUAAAGUAAUUAGGGAGUUUUUGCAUGAGUGUAUGGUGAAUAAAUUCAAGAAAACGUCUAUUCGUAAGCAACAGAUAAAUAAUCAAACAGAAGUAGUUAAAAUAAUUGAAAAAGAUGUUAUGGAAGGUGUUACUGCAGAUGAUCACCUGAUGAAAGUAGAGACAGUUCACUGCAGCGCUUGCAGUGUGUAUAUCCCUGCUUUACAUAGUUCAGUUCAGCAGCACUUAAAGUCUCCUGAUCAUAUCAAAGGGAAGCAGGCUUAUAAGGAACAAAUAAAAAGAGAGAGUGUCUUGACUGCUACAAGCAUUUUAAAUAAUCCAAUAGUGAAGGCGUGAUAUGAACGUUUUGUUAAGGGUGAGAAUCCUUUUGAAAUUCAAGACCAUUCUCAGGAUCAGCAAAUAGAAGGAGAUGAGGAGGAUGAAGAGAAGAUUGAUGAACCUAUUGAAGAAGAGGAGGAUGAAGAGAAGGAAGAAGAAGCAGAGGAAGUAGGGGAAGUAGAGGAGGCGGAGGAAGUAGAGGAAGUAGAGGAAGAAACAGCAAAGGAAGAACCUGCUGAUUUCCCUGUUGAGUAACCUAAAGAAAAUUACAUAUAA